rfam:Camelus ferus unplaced genomic scaffold scaffold370, whole genome shotgun sequence.
GGGGGGAUAGCUCAAGUUGUAGAGCACAUGCUUAGCAUGCAUGAGGUCCUGGGUUCAAUCCCUAGUACCUCCU